rnacentral:rRNA from 1 species
ACGCUGGCGGCACGCCUAACACAUGCAAGUCGAACGAAGUAGCAAUACUUAGUGGCAGACGGGUGAGUAACAUGUAGGUAUCUGCCCUUUGGCCUGGAAUAACACGAGGAAACUUGUGCUAAUACCGGAUAAGUCUUUACGGAGAAAGCUUUAUGCACCAUUGGAUGAGCCUGCACUUGAUUAGUUUGUUGGUGGGGUAAUGGCCUACCAAGACUGUGAUCAAUAGCUGAUUUGAGAGGAUGAUCAGCCACAUUGGGACUGAGACACGGCCCAAACUCCUACGGGAGGCAGCAGUGGGGAAUCUUGCACAAUGGAGGAAACUCUGAUGCAGCGAUGCCGCGUGAGUGAAGAAGGCCCUUGGGUUGUAAAGCUCUUUCGUCGGGGAAGAAAAUGACUGUACCCGAAUAAGAAGGUCCGGCUAACUUCGUGCCAGCAGCCGCGGUAAUACGAAGGGACCUAGCGUAGUUCGGAAUUACUGGGCUUAAAGAGUUCGUAGGUGGUUGAAAAAGUUAGUGGUGAAAUCCCAGAGCUUAACUCUGGAACUGCCAUUAAAACUUUUCAGCUAGAGUAUGAUAGAGGAAAGCAGAAUUUCUAGUGUAGAGGUGAAAUUCGUAGAUAUUAGAAAGAAUACCAAUUGCGAAGGCAGCUUUCUGGAUCAUUACUGACACUGAGGAACGAAAGCAUGGGUAGCGAAGAGGAUUAGAUACCCUCGUAGUCCAUGCCGUAAACGAUGUGUGUUAGACGUUGGAAAUUUAUUUUCAGUGUCGCAGGGAAACCGAUAAACACACCGCCUGGGGAGUACGACCGCAAGGUUAAAACUCAAAUGAAUUGACGGGGACCCGCACAAGUAGUGGAGCAUGUGGUUUAAUUCGAAGAUACGCGCAGAACCUUACCAACACUUGACAUGUUCGUCGCGACUCUAAGAGAUUAGAGUUUUCGGUUCGGCCGGACGAAACACAGGUGCUGCAUGGCUGUCGUCAGCUCGUGUCGUGAGAUGUUGGGUUAAGUCCCGCAACGAGCGCAACCCUCACUUUUAGUUGCCAUCAUUAAGUUGGGCACUCUGAAAGAACUGCCAGUGAUAAGCUGGAGGAAGGUGGGGAUGACGUCAAGUCCUCAUGGCCCUUACGUGUUGGGCUACACACGUGCUACAAUGGUAUCUACAACAGGAAGCAAGACUGCGAAGUUAAGCAAAUCCCUAAAAGAUACCUCAGUUCGGAUUGCACUCUGCAACUCGAGUGCAUGAAGCUGGAAUUACUAGUAAUCGUGGAUCAGCGUGCCACGGUGAAUGCGUUCCCGGGUCUUGUACACACCGC